UACGUAGGGGGCAAGCGUUGUCCGGAUUUAUUGGGCGUAAAGAGCGUGUAGGCGGCCAGACAGGUCCGUUGUGAAAACUCGAGGCUCAACCUCGAGACGCCGAUGGAAACCGUUUGGCUAGAGUCCGGAAGAGGAGAGUGGAAUUCCCGGUGUAGCGGUGAAAUGCGCAGAUAUCGGGAAGAACACCCGUGGCUAAGGCGGCUCUCUAGUACGGUACUGACGCUGAGACGCGAAAGCGUGGGGGAGCGAACAGG
rnacentral:rRNA from 1 species